rnacentral:rRNA from 1 species
CGGCGGACGGGUGAGUAACACGUGGAUAACCUACCUAUAAGACUGGGAUAACUUCGGGAAACCGGAGCUAAUACCGGAUAAUAUAUUGAACCGCAUGGUUCAAUAGUGAAAGACGGUUUUGCUGUCACUUAUAGAUGGAUCCGCGCCGCAUUAGCUAGUUGGUAAGGUAACGGCUUACCAAGGCAACGAUGCGUAGCCGACCUGAGAGGGUGAUCGGCCACACUGAAACUGAGACACGGUCCAG